rnacentral:sRNA from 1 species
UAUCAUCGGCGUAUCGAAGGUUGGUGAU